rnacentral:rRNA from 1 species
AUUGAACGCUGGCGGCAUGCCUUACACAUGCAAGUCGAACGGUAACAGGUCUUCGGAUGCUGACGAGUGGCGAACGGGUGAGUAAUACAUCGGAACGUGCCUAGUAGUGGGGGAUAACUACUCGAAAGAGUGGCUAAUACCGCAUGAGAUCUACGGAUGAAAGCAGGGGAUCGCAAGACCUUGUGCUACUAGAGCGGCCGAUGGCAGAUUAGGUAGUUGGUGGGAUAAAAGCUUACCAAGCCGACGAUCUGUAGCUGGUCUGAGAGGACGAUCAGCCACACUGGGACUGAGACACGGCCCAGACUCCUACGGGAGGCAGCAGUGGGGAAUUUUGGACAAUGGGGGCAACCCUGAUCCAGCCAUGCCGCGUGCGGGAAGAAGGCCUUCGGGUUGUAAACCGCUUUUGUCGGGGAAGAAAUCCCCUGGGCUAAUACCUCGGGGGGAUGACGGUACCCGAAGAAUAAGCACCGGCUAACUACGUGCCAGCAGCCGCGGUAA